AACCUUAUGGACCUGCGGGCGUAUACCUGCGGAGGGAUCAUUAUCGAGUUUUGAAACGGGUUGUAGCUGACCUCAAUUGGGGUAUGUGCACGCCUGGCUCAUUCCACUCUCAAACCCCUGUGCACUUAUUGUAGGCUUGGUGGGAUAGGCUGACUUUCACUAGUCGGUCUUGAAAGCUUCGCCUAUGUUUUAAUACAAACGCUUCAGUUUAGAAUGUAAUCAUUGCUAACAAGCAAAUUA
rnacentral:misc_RNA from 1 species